rnacentral:rRNA from 1 species
AUGGUUUCACACCACCGUUCCAGAGCAUUGCGCAGCCACACAAGUCUUCUCCAUCCCUCCUUCCGGCGUGCACCGCAAGAAGGGACAGCAGGCCUCCGGAACCCCGCCUCUCGUGAUCCUGUACGGGAGAGGGGCGAUCAUGUUUUUGGGGAGCACACUCACGUGACUACUGGCAGCGAUGACUUCUUCCCCAACCUCGGCAACCUCAUCCUCAACGACAUGGGCGACAACAUCGACGCCGGCGGUGCUGCUGCUGCACCGUAUGUGAUUCUAUCCUUCUUGUUCGAGAUCGUGGUAGAAUUCAUGUUUCUAGUAUGUGCCCUAGAUGUGAUCUAUUUGUCUACUAUGCUAGUUCGCAUGAUUAAUUUAAUCUCUGCUAGUGCUGUCAUGAUUUAUCUUCUGUUUAUUCGGAUUAAAUCUCAGUAA